GAUUGAUAAACUGGCUUACAUUUUGCCUUAUGGUCGAUGCUUUCUCAUUACCUUGCUGUUUUCUUUCACUAAAUGGGUUUGUUCUUCUCGGAGAUGCCUACUCCAAGAUAUCUCUGCACACCAACAGGAUUUGGAACAGAAAAGAUGCAGCAGCAGUGAGAGAACAGAUUAAGGGCUGAGAAGGGAAGCUGAACAUGCACAGGACAUGGGAUGCUGCAGGAGUUGGCCAGAGUGAUUGGGAGGAAGCUCUCCCUCCUCUAUGAAGGAAA